AAUUACUGGGCGUAAAGCGCGCGUAGGUGGCUUGAUAAGCCGGUUGUGAAAGCCCCGGGCUCAACCUGGGAACGGCAUCCGGAACUGUCAAGCUAGAGUGCAGGAGAGGAAGGUAGAAUUCCCGGUGUAGCGGUGAAAUGCGUAGAGAUCGGGAGGAAUACCAGUGGCGAAGGCGGCCUUCUGGACUGACACUGACACUGAGGUGCGAAAGCGUGGGUAGCAAACAGGAUUAGAUACCCUGGUAGUCCACGCCGUAAACGAUGUCGACCAGCCGUUGGGUGCCUAGCGCACUUUGUGGCGAAGUUAACGCGAUAAGUCGACCGCCUGGGGAGUACGGCCGCAAGGUUAAAACUCAAAUGAAUUGACGGGGGCCCGCACAAGCGGUGGAGCAUGUGGUUUAAUUCGAUGCAACGCGAAGAACCUUACCUACUCUUGACAUCCUGCGAAUUUGG
rnacentral:rRNA from 2 species